UUGUACUUCUUUGAAAAUUGCCAGCUCAGUCAAGAAUUUCCCUUAAACCAAAAUAGUGACUUGAGACAUACACAAAAAUAUAUUCUUUAGGUAGAAUAAAGAGUUCAGAUCUACAUUUUGCUCUCUCAAGCCCACAAAAAGUAUCUCCCAAAGAUGCUGCCUUAUAUCUUGAAUAAUUCCUAAAUAAAAAAUUGCCGAUUUACUUGGAUAAGAGAGCCCUGGAUUAGGUGUGAACAGGGAGUAAGAGAGCUACCUAAAAAUAUCACAGAUCUUUGCAAACCCUCUUUCUGUUACACAGAAUGUUAGCAUGGCCCUUGCAUUCAAACAAAUGCAAAAAACUAAAGACCAUUAAGUAAACUGUAAGCUCUUUUUGCAAAAAAUAACUUUAGCUUUCUUUGUAAUUCUUCCAAAGAUUAACAUGGUGCUGCUGUGAGCUUCCUACAUACACUGAUCAAAUGGGUUUUACCUUCCCCCACCCAGGAACAAAUGAAGAGGAAGAAGAUCCAAAAGACAACAUCAGAAAGAUGUUCCAGUUUUCUGGGAGUAUACAGUUGAACAACACAGAGGUUAGAGGCACAAAUCCCCCGCAAACAGCUGAAAAUUCAUAUGUAACUUUUGACUCCCCGAAAACUUCAUGGAAGCCUUACCAAUUAUAUGAACAGUCAAUUAAUGUGUAUUUUGUGUAUUAUAUGUAACAUAUACUGUAUUAUUACAAUAAAGGAAGCUAGAGAAAAUGUUAUUAAGAAAAUUCUAAGGAAAAGAAAAUACAUUUAUAGUAUUAUAAAAAAAAAAGUGGUUUGCACAGUUCAAAUCCAUGUUAUUGAAGGGUCAACUAUAUAUUCUAAUUUUUAUUGCCUUUAAGGGGGCUUCCAAGUCUAUAAUGAUUUCUACUUUUUCCAUUUUUCCCGGGUUUUCCAGCUCAGUUUUCAUUUUAUGUCAUUGUACCACUUUUUUGAAUUGUCCUUUGUUUUCAAGAGGUUAUGUUGUCUGUAAUUUCUUUGAGACUCUGGAGAAUUAUUUUUUUGAACACUUCCUGUGUUUCUCUGUGCCAUCCUUCGUCCAAUGUAUACUCUUCAUUUGUCUUUCCUUUUCCCUUUUUCCCCGAGUUUUACGUGUAGGUCAUAGUUGGGUUUUUCAUGCUGAUAAGGUAAACUUUCUUAAGGACAGGCUAUUUCUUUUUGUUGUUUAUUUGUGCUCUGGCUUCUUCAAGCCUCUCUGAAAUUAAUAUAUAAUCUGAUUACCAUCAAGAGUUCUUCUAAUACUUGCAUCAUGAAUAUCUUGAGGUCAGUGUUAACAACCUUUCAUCCAAUGCUUCAGUGUUUCUCACACAUCAAAGGUUUCCCAAAAACUCCUACCAUGGGCUGGCUGAUUCUCAUCUCUCUUCUUUUCUCAGUGCUUAUCUAUCACACUCCUUCAGGCUCCUCUGAAAGUCUAAUCACUGUUCAUCAAACAUUUGUGGGCUAACCUUUCACUCCACUUCUGUCUCCAAGUGACAUGUGAUGUUUGUGAAAAUAGUUUUAGGGCAUUAAUACACCUCUGGAAUGGAGGACUAAGCAAAGGAUCAAAUUGACUCUAUUUUAUUAAACACCACGUUGCUGUUCUUUUUUGGUUAGAGAAGUGGAGAGCGUAUUUUAAAGGUAGUGUCCUUCUUAGUUCUUUAUUUUGACAUGGUUAUAUGUUUUUGUAUCAGGGAUUAUCGUGUUUCUUUUACUCUCCAAUUCAGAUAUUGAGUCAGCAAUGUUCUUUUCUCCUAAUUAGGUUUUAGUUAUAUCUAGGGGCUCCCUAGGUGCCUGUGACCAAGAACUCUAAUAUAAAUAAAAAUGCAAUAUAAUUUUCUGUUCUAUUAUAAUUAUCAACUGAGUUAAACCUACUGAGAUGACUAUUAAGCUGCAACACAAACUUUGUGAAAUGUGUGGUCCCUGAAAACAUUUUUUACCUCAGUCCUAAAACGACCGAAGUUGUCAGAAAGGGGUAAGCUUACAUAUCACCUUCUUUUUAAAAGCAUACUUUCCCAGACCUUCAGGACUUUUCCAAGCCACUCUGCCCUGGCUGUAGUCUGCCCUAAUUAUCUUUGGCAGUGAAGGAAACUAAGAGGCAUCUCCUCAGCUCCUGCUCCUCAUCUAGAGUGUUGUAACUGAAGACAGAGGCAGAUAAAAGGCUAUUCUUCUAACUAGAACAAGUUUGGCUUGAGUUAUUUUAUUUUUUCAAGUAUUAUAUUCUCAAGUAUCCUGCAAACAUUCUUUCCCUGUAUUUCUGUGGUGCCCAAACAAACAGGAACAUCAUAGAUAAAAGGGGGUUUUAAAACAAUAACCACAAUCAUACAACAUGGUAAGUAAAUAAUAACAUAUUGCAUAUUUGAAAGUUACUAAAAGAGUAGAUCUUAAAAUUCCGCAUCGUGAAAAAAAAAUUUGUAACUAUGUAUGAUGACAGAUGUUAACUAGACUUACUGUGUGGCGAUCAUUUGGCAAUGUAUACUAGUACUGAAUCAUGUUGUGCACCUUAAACUAACAUGUUAUAUGUCAACUGUACCUCGAUAAUAAACAAUUAUAACAGGCUAA